UAAGCUCAAAAGCAGCGGCUCCACAGCCAUUUCAAUCUUCCCGCCCCAGCCAGUUGAAGCUGAGGGGCCUCCCAAGCCAGGGAGCCAGAGAUGGAGGAGGAGGUGGAAGAGUCCGGGCUGCCUCUGUAGCUUUGGACCCUAGGCAGAGGGAACCUGCCAGGGGGCGGGAGGAGGUGCGCAAUCUGAGACCUCCAAAUGGCUUGCAGCUGGACGUGAUUGCCAAGACCCUUCUGGGCUGCUUCCAGUUGUUACAUAAUUUCCUGGCGCAGCUCCAGGAAAAGGUGCACAAACUGCAGGCGCCUCAGUUCUCCAGGAAGACCACUCUG
rnacentral:lncRNA from 1 species